CACGUAGGCACCAAGCGUUGUCCGGAUUUAUUGGGCGUAAAGAGCUCGUAGGCGGCUCAGAAAGUCGGGUGUGAAACCUCCAGGCUCAACCUGGAGACGCCACCUGAUACUGCUGUGGCUAGAGUCCGGUAGGGGAGCACGGAAUUCCCGGUGUAGCGGUGAAAUGCUUAGAUAUCGGGAGGAACACCAGUGGCGAAGGCGGUGCUCUGGGCCGGAACUGACGCUGAGGAGCGAAAGCGUGGGUAGCAAACAGG
rnacentral:rRNA from 1 species